GACGAACGCUGGCGGCGUGCCUAAUACAUGCAAGUUGAGCGAUGAAGAUUGGUGCUUGCACCAAUUUGAAGAGCAGCGAACGGGUGAGUAACGCGUGGGGAAUCUGCCUUUGAGCGGGGGACAACAUUUGGAAACGAAUGCUAAUACCGCAUAACAACUUUAAACAUAAGUUUUAAGUUUGAAAGAUGCAAUUGCAUCACUCAAAGAUGAUCCCGCGUUGUAUUAGCUAGUUGGUGAGGUAAAGGCUCACCAAGGCGAUGAUACAUAGCCGACCUGAGAGGGUGAUCGGCCACAUUGGGACUGAGACACGGCCCAAACUCCUACGGGAGGCAGCAGUAGGGAAUCUUCGGCAAUGGACGAAAGUCUGACCGAGCAACGCCGCGUGAGUGAAGAAGGUUUUCGGAUCAUAAAACUCUGUUGGUAGAGAAGAACGUUGGUGAGAGUGGAAAGCUCAUCAAGUGACGGUAACUACCCAGAAAGGGACGGCUAACUACGUG
rnacentral:rRNA from 1 species